rfam:Dipodomys ordii contig_26310, whole genome shotgun sequence.
GUAGCUCAGUGGUAGAGUGCUUGCCUUGCAUGCAUGAGGCCCUGGGUUCGAUUCCUCAGC